GAGCAGAGAUGAAUGCGUAGAUGCUUCUGACACCUCUUAUGUUAGCGGCCAUUUCCGGGUCGCAAUGAUUCCAUCAACACUAUCUGAGCUC
rnacentral:snoRNA from 1 species